AUAUGGGAGAAAUAUCAAACAAUGCGGUCGCCGUGGCUCAAAGAUUACCACCAACAACUAUGGAAGACCUUUUCACAAAAAAAAAAAAUUAACAGAAAGACAUUAAAUUCUAAAUGAUAACCACAAAUCAUUUAAGAAUCCACCAUCAACAACACCACAUGUCACUUCAAAAAGUAAGACCCUACUCUACAUGUGUGAGUUCAUGGUUGAAAGAAAAUCAUUUGCUGCCACAAUAAAGCCCUUGCAGUUUCCAUUGUUCCAGUUUUGUUUGAGACUGUAUUAGACCACCAAUGUUGAACUGAA